GACGAACGCUGGCGGCGUGCUUAACACAUGCAAGUCGAACGGAAAGGCCCUGCUUUUGUGGGGUGCUCGAGUGGCGAACGGGUGAGUAACACGUGAGUAACCUGCCCUUGACUUUGGGAUAACUUCAGGAAACUGGGGCUAAUACCGGAUAGGAGCUCCUGCUGCAUGGUGGGGGUUGGAAAGUUUCGGCGGUUGGGGCUGGACUCGCGGCUUAUCAGCUUGUUGGUGGGGUAGUGGCUUACCAAGGCUUUGACGGGUAGCCGGCCUGAGAGGGUGACCGGCCACAUUGGGACUGAGAUACGGCCCAGACUCCUACGGGAGGCAGCAGUGGGGAAUAUUGCACAAUGGGCGGAAGCCUGAUGCAGAAACGCCGCGUGCGGGAUGACGGCCUUCGGGUUGUAAACCGCUUUCGCCUGUGACGAAGCGUGAGUGACGGUAAUGGGUAAAGAAGCACCGGCUAACUACGUG
rnacentral:rRNA from 1 species